GGUAGCGUGGCCAAGCGGUCCAAGGCGCUGGUUUAAGGCACCAGUCUCUUCGGGGGCAUGGGUUCGAAUCCCAUCGCUGCCA
rnacentral:tRNA from 1 species